AUUGAACGCUGGCGGCAGGCUUAACACAUGCAAGUCGGGCGGAGAUGAGGUGCUUGCACCUUAUCUUAGCGGCGGACGGGUGAGUAAUGCUUAGGAAUCUGCCUAUUAGUGGGGGACAACAUUCCGAAAGGAAUGCUAAUACCGCAUACGUCCUACGGGAGAAAGCAGGGGAUCUUCGGACCUUGCGCUAAUAGAUGAGCCUAAGUCGGAUUAGCUAGUUGGUGGGGUAGGGGCCUACCAAGGCGACGAUCUGUAGCGGGUCUGAGAGGAUGAUCCGCCACACUGGGACUGAGACACGGCCCAGACUCCUACGGGAGGCAGCAGUGGGGAAUAUUGGACAAUGGGGGGAACCCUGAUCCAGCCAUGCCGCGUGUGUGAAGAAGGCCUUAUGGUUGUAAAGCACUUUAAGCGAGGAGGAGGCUACUGAGACUAAUACUCUUGGAUAGUGGACGUUACUCGCAGAAUAAGCACCGGCUAACUCUGUGCCAGCCGCCGCCGUAACAC
rnacentral:rRNA from 1 species